GACGAACGCUGGCGGCGUGCUUAACACAUGCAAGUCGAACGGAAAGGCCUCUUUCGGGGGGUACUCGAGUGGCGAACGGGUGAGUAACACGUGAGUAACCUGCCCUUUACUUUGGGAUAACUUCAGGAAACUGUGGCUAAUACCCGAUAUGAGCUCCUCCUGCAUGGUGGGGGGUGGAGAGUUUCGGCGGUUGGGGAUGGACUCUCGGCUUAUCAGCUUGUUUGUGGGGUAGUGGCUUACCAAGGCUUUGACGGGUAGCCGGCCUGGGAGGGUGAACGGCCACAUUGGGACUGAGAUACGGCCCAGACUCCUACGGGAGGCAGCAGUGGGGAAUAUUGCACAAUGGGUGGAAGCCUGAUGCAGCAAAGGCGUGUGCGGGAUGACGGCCUUCGGGUUGUAAACCGCUUUCGCUCAUGACGAAGCUUUGUGUGACGGUAGUGGGUAAAGAAGCACCGGCUAACUACGUG
rnacentral:rRNA from 1 species